GUAGAGCGUCUGCUUCGUAAGCAGAAGGUCGUCAGUUCAAUCCUGGCAAGUGGCU
rnacentral:tRNA from 1 species